rnacentral:rRNA from 1 species
UACGGGGGGUGCGAGCGUUGUCCGGAAUCACUGGGCGUAAAGGGCGCGUAGGUGGUCUGAUAAGGGUGUGGUGAAAGCCCGGGGCUCAACCCCGGGUCGGCCGUGCCGACUGUUAGACUAGAGUACUGUAGGGGCAGGCGGAAUUCCGGGUGUAGCGGUGGAAUGCGUAGAGAUCCGGAGGAAGACCGGUGGCGAAGGCGGGUCUCUGGGCCGAAAUUGACGCUGAGGAGCGAAAGCGUGGGGAGCAAACAGG